rnacentral:tRNA from 1 species
AUUGACUUGGCAGAAUUAAAUGCGAUUGAUUUAGGAUCAAUACAUAAUAUUUAGAUAUUAGUCGGUA